CUGAGGAAAAUCUACUUUGUUGAUGUCUUAAUGCCAUGUUCAGUACUAGAGGGCAGUGUGAUCCUUGUUGAUACACCAGGAAUCGGAGAAAGUAAAGAACUUGACCAGAUUCUGCUGGAUUUUUUACCUGAUGCAGUGUCAUUUAUAUUUGUUGUUAAUGCCAGGAAUGCCGGUGGGGUUCAACAGGGGAGGUUGUUAGAAAUUCUUACAUCCAU